rnacentral:ncRNA from 1 species
CAGUAGCAUUAGUUCCUUUUCAUUCUCUAGAUAGAUGGGCAGAACAAGCUUCUCGAGUCUUAAUAGGGCGAUUGUCACUGCUUAUGGACCAGAACCUGGGUGAUAUAUCCAUGACCAGGAUGAAGCUUGGAUGAAACUAAGCAGAGGUCCGAACCGACUGAUGUUAAAGAAUCAGCGGAUGAGUUGUGGUUAGGGGUGAAAUGCCACUCGAACCUAGAGCUAGCUGA